GCCCGGACCCCCGGGGGGUGGCCGUGGGCACCGACCGCCGGGGCUCGGAGGUCCCGGGACUGGUGGCCUGGGCACGCCGGGUGCCCCCGCCCCGGGAGAGCGGCUGUGCUUGGUUGCUGAAGCCCGGGCCGGACCCGGGCCCGAGGGUCGUGGGGAGGAGCCGGCCCGGCCCCACGGGCGAGCUGAUGGGGCGGGGGGCGAGGCCGGGCUGUCGCACGGGGAUAGUCGCCGCCCGUGAGGACGGGCAAAAUAAGUGCCCUCUUUGCUAAAAAAACAAAACACUGAAACAGCCCGAACUAGAAGACCGAAGCCCACCCCGUCAAUGCGUUUUUAAAAGCUGUAAGUCAUGAGAAAGGUGGGCAGAUUCUGUAAAGGGUGGCAGGGGGCAUCUGCCAAGCAAAUGCCUGGUACUCACUGAAGAAAAUGCCUCCCGGAUUGGAGCAACUGGCAUGUACGGGAAACGAGGGGACAGGACAGAGCGAGCGUUUAGCAGACCUCUUAGAGUCACAAGGGGAAGAUCCGUAAAACGCCAGGCCUCGGGGACAUCUGUGCCACACCCAGGGCGCCCUCAUUUCCCAGGCGGUGGGGUGCUCGUUGAGCGUGGUCCCGGGGACCCUCUCAGCUCUUGCUGUCCUGUCCCAUCACCGAAUCUCCAGCGCAGAGUCCCGGGGUGCGCCUGACGCCUCCUCUUCCCACCCAGACCCGGGCUCGUCCGCAGCCCUGUGCGGCCCUGGAGCAUCGGUGGGAUUCUGUCGUGCAGGCUGCACUGCAGGGGAGCGCCGCGCUGCUUCUGACGUCGGGGAGCCCCGGGCCCGGGCCACUCCCACCUUCCUGCCACCUUCGUGCCACGCUGCAGCUGCACGGCCCUUCUUCCCGCCGGGCACAGGGCCUUUGCACGUGCUCCUCCUGCUGCCUCCCCUGCUCUCCCCACGGGCAUGGGGCCCCCUUGCGUCCCGGCUUUCUUCCUGCUGCGCUGUCUCCUCGCACGGGGCGGGGGUUUCUCUGCCCCACCCCUGCAUUGGAGGUGGGAGUGGAUGCACCGUGGGCAACAGGCCUGCCUGCGAGGGGCUCCUCAAGUCUCGGGACCGGCCACAGGCACCAAGGCCACAGGCUCCUGCCCUGAAGCCCAUGAACUACCGUCAAGAACUGGCCGGCAAGCGAAGGGCCCAGGAGGAGCGCUGACUCCAGGUCCAUCCUGCCGGCCCAGCGCAGCUGUCACCUCCUGGUGAAGCUGUCCCCCUCCCGGGAAGCUCUUCCCUCUCUAACAAGAGUCAAGUUUGUCCCCGAGGAACAUGCUGGUAGCUCAUCUCUGCCUUCCGUUUAAGCCAACCGAAAGGCUGCAGAAGACGCCCCCAAGCCCGAGAAGACGGGAAUGUGUCUCCUCCCGGGAAGAGACCAGACCCUCCCGGCCUGCUCACCAGGGGCAUGUCCCUGCCCCAGCGCUGCUGCUUGGAGGGAACUCGGGCAUUUUCCCAAUGCCCAAAGUUAAUAUUGGACUUUACUCUGUGGAUACUCUUUUGUCUUAGUUAUUUGGAACACUCUGAAAUGUUGUUUGGAAAAUUGCAUAAUUUAUGAAACCAUAGUGUGACAAUUGAAUGACGCUUAAAAAUCCUCUCAGCUGAAAGACACUAGGUUUGCUCAGUGGUCCUUGAGGGAGUGUCCUGGGCUACUGGAGAAAGCCGAGUUGCUCCUGCGGCCAUUGAGAGGAGGACCUGAGGCUCAGUUGCUGGUGGAGUCAAAGUGGGUCUGACAGAUGUCAUGCUCCCCAGCAGAGCAUGCAUGCUGCAACCUCUCAAGUCACGGAGAUGCGGGCGUGCCUGAGCAGUCACUGGGCCUCGGUCCUGGCAUGGGGUGCAGCAGGGAGGGAAGUCUGCUGGAGUCACGAGAGUUUGGGGAUGGUGGGGUCCUGCCAGUGAGGCCCUGUGCCCCCUGUGGGGGGUCGUGAAGGAGGGGACACAUGUGGAGCCCUGUGGGGGAAGGGGCAGCCCUACAGAGAUCCAGGAAAAGAGCAUUCCAAAAAAGUGAGUUGCAAACUCUAGUCCAGACUUGGAUACACGGACAACGGGCCAAGCUGAAGGGCUCCAAGUGACAGCUGGGCUUGCAGGGUUGGGGGCUGGGGCUUUAUACCCUGCUGCCAGGAGGGAUGAUAUGGUUGUUGGGGUACACAGGGCAGGGACCCCACUAGACCUUCUUGUCGUCAGCUCUGUGUGGACAGCUGUGGACAGUGGACAGCAGUCCAGGAGAAGACCAGCAGCAGCUGGGAAGGGCCAGCCACAGUCAGCAGGUGGCAGGGCCCAGAGACUUGCCCCCAGGCUGAAGGGGAGCUGGGAACAGAGGGGUCCCAUCCCUCUGUCCUCCGCAGCUGGCAUCAAGCUGUGAUUUACCAAGUUCCAGGUAUUGUGUUACAAGCAACAGAAAUGGACUACAGAGGCCCACGUGGGAAAGGGGUGAUGUCUCCGGUCAACAGCUGGGGGACCCGAGCGCUGUCAACAGCCGCACGACUGAGCUUGGAAAUGGAUCGUCCCACAGUUCAGCCUUCAGAAUCCUGUGGCGCACUCCUGUUGCAGAAGGAAGAGGGGCAUGGAUUUCAGAGUCAGAGGCUGAUUCUAAAACCUCCACUAGUCAGCUGGGUGACUGUAACAAGGAGCUCAUCUCUGUGCCUGCUUUUCCUCUCCUGGGAAGUGGAGAUUAUGAUGUCAGGCACCUUCCUCAUGGGUAAUUGGGGUUCAACCAGAAUGCACCUCCUCCCUGGGCUUUUGGGGCCCUGCUAACUCAGCCCUAGAUAUAACAUUCUCACCGUGUGCUCACUUGGAACUCCCACACAUCAGGGGUCCACAAGAAUUCUGUGCUCGUGGGCACCAUGAGCACGACGUGCAGAAAGCGCAGCUAGGAGUAGGUGGAGAUGGAACACUGAUCACUGCUGAGCAUCU